CUACGGGGCGCUCCAGUAAGGAAUAUUGCGCAAUGGAGGCAACUCUGACGCAGCCAUGCCGCGUGCAGGAAGAAGGCCUUAUGGGUCGUAAACUGCUUUUAUUUAGGAAUAAACCCCCGAACGUGUUCGGGGCUGAAGGUACUAAACGAAUAAGCACCGGCUAACUCCGUGCCAGCAGCCGCGGUAAUACGGAGGGUGCAAGCGUUAUCCGGAUUUAUUGGGUUUAAAGGGUGCGCAGGCGGGCUAUUAAGUCAGUGGUGAAAUCCCGGGGCUCAACUCCGGAACUGCCAUUGAUACUGAUAGUCUUGAGUUAGGUUGAAGUGGGCGGAAUGUAGCAUGUAGCGGUGAAAUGCAUAGAUAUGCUACAGAACACCAAUCGCGAAGGCAGCUCACUAAGCCAAAACUGACGCUCAUGCACGAAAGCGUGGGGAUCAAACAGGAUUAGAUACCCGGGUAGUC
rnacentral:rRNA from 1 species